rnacentral:rRNA from 1 species
AUGACACUCCAAGAGCGCAUCAAGAGCAUGGAGGACAAGAAUAUCAAACUUGUCAACAUGGUCCAGGUGAUGCUAGUUCGCCGGAUCCUUCAAUGUCAAUGUCGGACUUACAAUCUAUGGGAAUUUGAUCCGGCCAAGCACCAAACCCUACUGGAGUUCUUUGGCACAAUGCACGAAGACAUUUGGAAGGUGAUUUUCAAGCCCGGCAAGUCAUGGCUGGACACCACCGAGGAUCGUGGGCACAAAUUGCCCCGUCCCGCAAGUUCGGCAAGUUUUUGUAUGUUGGAAAGGUGUAUCCUUUAUUUGCAUACUCUGAAGAAAAUGCCUAAUAUUUCCUUAACGAUUCUCCCAGGGCUGGACGCAGUAAGCGAAACGGAUCUACUGUCCGGCCCUGUGGCCCGAAGAACAAGCCGGCCCAGUUCUGAUGAAGAUGUUGGUCCCGGCGCCUUAUAA